GAGCGAGGGCUCCGGCCCGACCUCCAACCCUUUGUGAAUCAAAACCUGUUGCUUCGGGGGCGACCCUGCCGUUCGCGGCGCGGCGCCCCCGGGGGAAAUCAAACACUGCGUCAAUUUGUGUCGGAGUAGUCGUUAAUAAACAAAACUUUCAACAACGGAUCUCUUGGUUCUGGCAUCGAUGAAGAACGCAGCGAAAUGCGAUAAGUAAUGUGAAUUGCAGAAUUCAGUGAAUCAUCGAAUCUUUGAACGCACAUUGCGCCCCGUGGCAUUCCGCGGGGCAUGCCUGUUCGAGCGUCAUUUCACCACUCGAGUCUGACUCGGUAUUGGGCGCCGCGUUUCGAUGCGCGCCUUAAAGUUUCCGGCUGGACCGUCCGUCUCCGAGCGUUGUGGCAUCUGUCUCGCUAGGGAGUCGCGGAGGGCGUUGGCCGUUAAACACCCCAUCAAAGGUUGACCUCGGAUCAGGUAGGGAUACCCGCUGAACUUAAGCAUAUCAAUAAGCGGAGGAA
rnacentral:sRNA from 1 species